rnacentral:sRNA from 1 species
GGGUUGCUGGGCAGCCCCUCUGCCUGCCUGACCCCUGCCUGGUUCCACAGGGCACUACCUGAAGGCCCCUUGCACGGAGCCCUGUGGCAACUCCACCUGCCUUCUGUGUCCCCAAGACACCUUCUUGGCCUGGGAGAACCACCAUAAUUCUGAAUGUGCCCGCUGCCAGGCCUGUGAUGAGCAGGCCUCCCAGGUGGCGCUGGAGAACUGUUCGGCAGUGGCCGACACCCGCUGUGGCUGUAAGCCAGGCUGGUUUGUGGAGUGCCAGGUCAGCCAAUGUGUCAGCAGUUCACCCUUCUACUGCCAACCAUGCCUAGACUGCGGGGCCCUGCACCGCCACGCACGGCUACUCUGUUCCCGCAGAGAUACUGACUGUGGGACCUGCCUGCCUGGCUUCUAUGAACACGGCAAUGGCUGCGUGUCCUGCCCCACGAGCACCCUGGGGAGCUGUCCAGAGCGCUGUGCCGCUGUCUGUGGCUGGAGGCAGAGUGCUCCUGGCUGGCCUUGUGGUCCCCCUCCUGCUUGGGGCCAUGCUGACCUACACAUACCGCCACUGCUGGCCUCACAAGCCCCUGGUUACUGCAGAUGAAGCUGGGAUGGAGGCUCUGACCCCACCACCGGCCACCCAUCUGUCACCCUUGGACGGCGCCCACACCCUUCUAGCACCUCCUGACAGCAGUGAGAAGAUCUGCACCGUCCAGUUGGUGGGCAACAGCUGGACCCCUGGCUACCCCGAGACCCAGGAGGCGCUCUGCCCGCAGGCGACAUGGUCCUGGGACCAGUUGCCCAACAGAGCUCUUG